UACGGAGGGUGCAAGCGUUGUCCGGAUUUAUUGGGUUUAAAGGGUGCGUAGGUGGCUUGUUAAGUCCGGGGUGAAAGCCCACAGCUCAACUGUGGAACUGCCCUGGAUACUGGAGAACUUGAGUACAGACGAGGGCGGCGGAAUGGAUGGUGUAGCGGUGAAAUGCAUAGAUACCAUCCAGAACCCCGAUUGCGAAGGCAGCUGCCUAGACUGUAACUGACGCUGAGGCACGAAAGCGUGGGGAGCGAACAGG
rnacentral:rRNA from 1 species